CGAAACCAAAAGACUGGCGACCGGGCGGACGGGUGAGUAACACGUAUCCAACCUGCCUCAUACUCGGGGAGUAGCCUUUCGAAAGAAAGAUUAAUAUCCGAUAGCAUAUAUUUCCGCAUGGGUUUUAUAUUAAAGAAAUUCGGUAUGAGAUGGGGAUGCGUUCCAUUAGUUUGUUGGGGGGGUAACGGCCCACCAAGACUACGAUGGAUAGGGGUUCUGAGAGGAAGGUCCCCCACAUUGGAACUGAGACACGGUCCAA
rnacentral:rRNA from 1 species